GAUGAACGCUGGCGGCGUGCCUAAUACAUGCAAGUCGAGCGAACGGACGAGAAGCUUGCUUCUCUGAUGUUAGCGGCGGACGGGUGAGUAACACGUGGAUAACCUACCUCUAAGACUGGGAUAAUUUCGGGAAACCGGAGCUAAUACCGGCUAAUAUUUUGAACCGCAUGGUUCAAAAGUGAUAGACGGUCUUGCUGUCACUUAUAGAUGGAUCCGCGCUGCAUUAGCUAGUUGGUAAGGUAACGGCUUACCAAGGCAACGAUGCAUAGCCGACCUGAGAGGGUGAUCGGCCACACUGGAACUGAGACACGGUCCAGACUCCUACGGGAGGCAGCAGUAGGGAAUCUUCCGCAAUGGGCGAAAGCCUGACGGAGCAACGCCGCGUGAGUGAUGAAGGUCUUCGGAUCGUAAAACUCUGUUAUUAGGGAAGAACAUAUGUGUAAGUAACUGUGCACAUCUUGACGGUACCUAAUCAGAAAGCCACGGCUAACUACGUG
rnacentral:rRNA from 1 species